CACGUUUCUACACUGUCAACGCCACUGCUUGAGUUCCUCCCUUCCUGCCAUGAGCAUCUUUCACUUCCCUCUCCAAGAAGAACACACAGCUUUUCCCCUGUCCUGUCACCCAGCCCUGGCAAGGAAGAGAGGAGAAAAGAAGGGACAGAGAGCACAGGAAAUACAAGGGCCUUGAACCUACAAUUUGGUCCCAGAAGGUCUACCUCUUUUCCAGCUGAAGCUUUGUUUAAACAAAAAGAUGUCAUACUUUCAUCCACAUAGUGAACGAUGUGGUGGCUGAAAGACCAACUUUUUGCUGGAGACCAAUGAAAUCCACAAAAGAUGUACACAGUUGGAAACCCAGGCAUCCAAAUUGUGGUUAAUUGAAUACAAAACUUGUGCAAUGAAACAUGAGAU